AACGAACGCUGGCGGCAUGCCUAACACAUGCAAGUCGAACGAGACCUUCGGGUCUAGUGGCGCACGGGUGCGUAACGCGUGGGAACCUGCCCUUAGGUUCGGAAUAACUCCCCGAAAGGGGUGCUAAUACCGGAUAAUGUCUUCGGACCAAAGAUUUAUCGCCUUUGGAUGGGCCCGCGUUGGAUUAGCUAGUUGGUAGGGUAAAAGCCUACCAAGGCGACGAUCCAUAGCUGGUCUGAGAGGCUGAUCAGCCACACUGGGACUGAGACACGGCCCAGACUCCUACGGGAGGCAGCAGUGGGUAAUAUUGGACAAUGGGCGAAAGCCUGAUCCAGCAAUGCCGCGUGAGUGAUGAAGGCCUUAGGGUUGUAAAGCUCUUUUACCCGGGAUGAUAAUGACAGUACCGGGAGAAUAAGCUCCGGCUAACUCCGUG
rnacentral:rRNA from 1 species